AGAUGUAGAUGAAUGUGCCCGAGGAUUGGACAACUGUCCUAGUUAUAUUUCGCAUUGUAUUAACACUGAUGGGAGUUAUGUAUGCAGAUGUAACCAGGGUUAUUCCGGAAAUGGCCGAUCUUGCUCUGGUGAGUUGUACUUUUUGAAUCUUAAGGCCUUACUAUAACAUAAAGCAAUGAUAGUCCACUAGUCAUCUUUCUUUGUCUAAACCCAAUAAGUUUAUUCCUUCAUAAAAAUAAUAAUUUUUAUAUCUCCCUUCAUCACUUUACACAAAUGAACACCAAAGUGUUAAUUAGGGGAUAAGUUUAUAAAAUUUCGUUGUAUUCCUCGUACAAAACCAAAUGAAUAAGAUGCACCAUUUUCUAGAUAUUAUCCAAACACUCGUUUGAAGCCAGCAUAAUUCAGAAGUUUUUAGACACUCCCUAAUUUAUUUGCAAAUGCUUAAACAUCUACAGAAUGACAAUGAAUUGCUAAAUUAUUUCUAUACAUAUUUGAUGAAAUUGAGAUCUUUAAUUUUUAAUGCACUUUAUUUAUUGAAGUUCUAGCUAUCUGAGCCCAUUUCCAUACUUCGUCAACCAGCAAAACUAAAUGGAAUAGCUAUAGUUGCAUUAUUGUUAAUUCCUUCUAAGUAGAUCGAUGAUUUGGACAAACUUGUGAAAAAACGGUUUCUAUUAUACUGAACUUACUUAAAAGAUUAUUCACGGUUUAACUUCAGAUAUCAACGAAUGUUCUUUAUCAAUUGACAACUGUCAUUCCAACGCUUCUUGCACCAACAUUCGUGGAUCAUUUUUCUGCACGUGUGACAGUGGAUAUACCGGUAAUGGAACUUUUUGCCAAGGUAAAUAGAGAAUUUUCUUUUUAAACAUAAAUUGGACACCAGGAUGACUACAAAAUAAUUGAAUAUGAUAAAGGUGUAACAAUAUUUAUUUCAAGAAAAGCUAAUGAUGUUUAUAAAAUGUUGAUCCGUUUAUUUGUUAUACAUCUUUAGAAGUAAAUGAAUGUUCUCUAUCUCCUGACGAAUACCUGCACCCAAAUUGAAACUGCGCCAAUAUUUGGCAUAUACAAACAAAUAUAAAAGCUCAUUUCCUAACAUAAAUUCGACCGGAAAGACUGAAUAGAAGAAGAUUGACUAAAUAACGCCGGAUCAAAAAUUAAAUUCACUGGGAAAAUUACCACCACGUUACGUUGUAAUAUGUUAGGGUAGCUACCUACCAUUAUAGUACAGUUUAAAAACAUGUAUAAAUUACUAAAAAAAGACUACCCCACACCUUUCGUGUUUUUCACGGUUUCUAAUUUACACGAAUGGCAAAUAGUAAUAAUACCGAAUCGAUGUUUUGUCACGUCAACAGUUUCAACUGGAUUUCAGGUCUAUUUUUGUCGCGUUUGCUUCGGUGAAAUUUCGAAAACUUUGCAUAUUUGCUAAGGAUGAAGAUUAAUAAAACAUCAAAAUUUCAAAAAAAGUCUACGAGUUAGACGAUAUUGUUGUUUGAUUGUGAAAUUAGACAAUAAAGGAGCAAAAGAUAAAACAUCAUGGUUGCCAUGGAAACGAUAAACACUGUUCUUAUUUUUUGUAUAUCGACAGUGCAAUUAGACUUCUGAACUUUUGCAGAAAUUAUCAUAUUGUUUUAAGUGUAUUCAGUAUCAAUUUGGUUGAAAACAAAGAUUACCCAAAAUACUUAAAAUUUUAAACAACUGCAGGAAGUCACCUUUAAUAGCAUUUAUUUGUUAUGAUUCAUUAGAAAUAGAUGAAUGUUCGCUAUCUCUUGACGACUGUCACCCAAAUUCAAACUGCACCAAUAUUGAUGGAUCUUUUCUAUGUACGUGUGAUAGAAAAUAUACUGGAAACGUAACUCUUUGCCAAGGUAAACAGAAAACGCCAUAAUUAUGGCACCCAAGUAAAACAC